CACAAGCAAAGAGAGGUGAGUGAUUUUCUCUCCUCUGUGUUUAAUUUGGUCGAAUGGCCUUAUGAAAUGUAACCAAAAUUCUGGUUCUUGGAACGGUUAAAGUUUGGGCUCAAGAGAAAAACAGGGACAAGUCUUGUGUAUUUGAUCAACAAAGAGGCAAGGUUGGAGUUCCCCGGCAAUUGUUUGUAACAAAAAAUCCAUCUACUAUCCCUUAUGAAAUCACUAAGGCUGGGAUGAAGUUACCAUUAGGUGGAUACCUUUUUGGAUUAUGAUAAUUUAUCAAAGAGAAUUGUCUUUACUACAGAUCGGCCAUAUCAACCAGGUGAGCAG